rnacentral:rRNA from 1 species
GUUUGAUCCUGGCUCAGGAUGAACGCUGGCGGCGUGCCUAAUACAUGCAAGUCGAACGAAGUUUCUAGGAAGCUUGCUUCCAAAGAGACUUAGUGGCGAACGGGUGAGUAACACGUAGGUAACCUGCCCAUGUGCCCGGGAUAACUGCUGGAAACGGUAGCUAAAACCGGAUAGGUAUGAGGGAGGCAUCUUCCUCAUAUUAAAGCACCUUCGGGUGUGAACAUGGAUGGACCUGCGGCGCAUUAGCUGGUUGGUGAGGUAACGGCCCACCAAGGCGAUGAUGCGUAGCCGACCUGAGAGGGUGAACGGCCACAUUGGGACUGAGACACGGCCCAAACUCCUACGGGAGGCAGCAGUAGGGAAUUUUCGUCAAUGGGGGGAACCCUGAACGAGCAAUGCCGCGUGUGUGAAGAAGGUCUUCGGAUCGUAAAGCACUGUUGUAAGUGAAGAAUGCCACAUAGAGGAAAUGCUAUGUGGGUGACGGUAGCUUACCAGAAAGCCACGGCUAACUACGUGCCAGCAGCCGCGGUAAUACGUAGGUGGCAAGCGUUAUCCGGAAUCAUUGGGCGUAAAGGGUGCGUAGGUGGCACGAUAAGUCUGAAGUAAAAGGCAACAGCUCAACUGUUGUAUGCUUUGGAAACUGUCGAGCUAGAGUGCAGAAGAGGGCGAUGGAAUUCCAUGUGUAGCGGUAAAAUGCGUAGAUAUAUGGAGGAACACCAGUGGCGAAGGCGGUCGCCUGGUCUGUAACUGACACUGAUGCACGAAAGCGUGGGGAGCAAAUAGGAUUAGAUACCCUAGUAGUCCACGCCGUAAACGAUGAGAACUAAGUGUUGGAGAGAUUCAGUGCUGCAGUUAACGCAAUAAGUUCUCCGCCUGGGGAGUAUGCACGCAAGUGUGAAACUCAAAGGAAUUGACGGGGGCCCGCACAAGCGGUGG